GGUUGCGAUCAUACCAGCACUAAUGCACCGGAUCCCAUCAGAAUUCCGCAGUUAAGCGUGCUUGGGCGAGAGUAGUACUAGGAUGGGUGACCCUCUGGGAAGUCAUCGUGUUACACCCU
rnacentral:rRNA from 1 species